rnacentral:lncRNA from 1 species
GCGAGAUUCAUCUUAAGGGGGGUAGGUUUGUAACAUCCCAAUUUUCCUAAAUUAGGAUGUUAUUAGAUCAUACAUAUGCAUAUCAUAUUUUCCAUGCAUUAUUUGCUCUUCUGCAAUAUUCUUUUCAUUAUGCAACUAAAGGCAAUUUAUUGGAGUGGAGAUAAAAUGACUUCUCCCCUGUUUAAAAAUGUUCAUAAUGUCAAUAAUAUUAUUUCCAGUUCAUAUGUUACGUUCUGGUAUUUUUUAUUAGUCUCCAUAGUAUUUUAUUUGAGUGUUUUGUUGCUGUUUGUGUGGCCUAUUGCAUAAAAAUGAUUUUUCCGAAAUUGCAUUAGGUGAGGAACUAGUGUUCCUGUAGUUUAUAUUAGUAGUAAAUAUUUUACUGUGUGUAUAUGUAUUUUUGUUUAGUUUUUAUUAUGUUGUUUUUAUUUUUAGUUUAACCGCUGUAGCAGUUUUGUGUUCUUAAAAAAAACAGGGCCAGCCAGCCGGCCAGCCAACCGGCCCAUCACCGUGGCCCAGCCAGCCAGCCAGCGCAGCAGCAGCACACAGCCGCACCACACCGCUGCGGCCCAUCUUCCUCGCGAAGCGGUACGCACAGCCAUACCCGACCCGCACCUGCAGCCCGCACCCAUCUUCCACCCUGAGCCGGACGUAGCCGCACGCACGCCGAGGCCGAGCCGGAUCGCCCAGCACCCCUGGUACACCUCGAGCGCGCCAGACCUGCCGUACGCGAAGCAAAACCCCUAGGGGAGACCCCGCAGCUCCUGUCCUGAUCCUCUUCGUUGCCGCACGCGCUGUUGGGCGAAAACGGAUCUCGCUGUCGUGCUCCGAGGCCGCCGUCGUUCACCGUCCGUAUCCGCCACCGUAAGGACGCCCCUGCCGCUCCACUUCUCACCCUUGAACCCCCACUCGACGCCGCCCUAUCCUGACACGCCCUUGUGGCUGAAAUCGCAGCGGAGAGAGAGGAACGAGCCCACCCGCCGUCGCCGAGCACGCCGGAGUUAACAUCUUCGCUGUCGCCUACAGAGGUCGCCCCGUCACCGUUUGACAUCACCGACGUCUCUGCCGCUCGACAGCGCACCCGCCCGUCACUUCACCUUCGUCGGAGACCCACCGGAGGAGCGCCGCCGCCAACGCCCGAGAUCGCCGCCGCCGUUUUCCUCUGCUUCUGGUGAGCACGCACGCGCACAGGAGCCUUUGGCCAAUCACGAGCUGCCACGUGGGCACCAGCUACAGCACACGCAGUAACAGUGCAGGAGUUUUCUGUUUUCUUUUUCAGAUUUCAGCUAAAACUUCAACUAGCUAUAUCUUUUAUUCUAUAAGUCCAAAUUAGGUAAUUCUUUUUCCAAUGAUCUCAAAAAAAUCAGCACAUUAUCACAGUACCAACUUUGCACAUGUUUGCACUAUUCAAAUUUGAAUUAGUUCGAAUUUGAAAUAAACCUUCGGGAGGCCGUAACUCUCAAACCGUUUAUCGGAUUCGAGUGAUUCUUUUUGCAUUGUGACCGUAGUGCAAUUUAGGUGCUGUUAAGCUUCUGUUGUUGUGUUUUUGAAAUGAUUUUCUUGCUGUUGGUUUUAUUUUGGUUCGAUUCGUGUUCCGAUGAUUGAUUUGUUGUAUUGUGUGAAACGUGUAGAUUGUCCGGAGUGCGACGCAAACUAUUGUCAGGAGUGUGACUUUCUGAACCAGAACCAAGGCAAGUUAAAUGUUGAUCAUCCUUUAUCUAUUGUUUUCUAUGCAUGUAGUUAUAUCACACUAUGAAUAUAUGCAUGUAUAGGAUUACUAUAUUAUUUUGCUAUAUGCUGUUGAGCUAUCUUCCCGUCUUUUGCAAAUCGUGGUAGUUGUAGUUUGCUAUGCUUUGUAGACGGGGGUGGUUCGUGUAUACAUUGAGUUUAUGUGAGGAUUACAUAUAUAUAACAAUUGAGUAGUAACUCAGGAUUUAACUCACCUCUAGGCGGAAGUGGUAUUGCUUGGUGUUGAGGGAAGGCAUCAUGGGGUCUUGCACCUUUUCUAAGGCCAUGCGCUCAUGAGAGUGCACCCUAAGUGGAAUGCCGCCCAGGUUCAAAAAGAUCAGACAGACUUAGUGACUAGUAGCUUCCAUGUGCGGCCACUGGCUAUAUGGGCUCUAGCUUAGUUGAUCAGUUGUUGGAACCCUUGCCCAGACAAUGUCGACAGAUGUAGCAUAUGUAGGUGGGAUGUGGCCGUCAGGUGGUUAAGGGAACCUCUUCUGAAAGACUUUGUCUCAAUCUUCGGAUUGGGUCUAGUGGGUAAAGCGUACAAAACUCUGCAGAGUAUUAAAACUAAUCAUGAUUAGCCGUGCCCCCGGUUAUGGGUAAAUUUCAGCCACUAUGCCGUUACAAUUGUUGGAUGAUCUUGACACAUGUGACACUUAAUAAUAUUUGUGGGCAACUUAAUAAAGGGUAGGUUGGAGUUGAUUUUGCCAACUCAACCUUGUGUAUUUAAUUGUAGUAAUAAAAGAACUAAAUAAAAAUUUGACUAUUAGGUAGUUAUUAGGAUAAAAUCAGCUUUAUGCAAAAAUAAACCCUCAAGCCUUCCUUUGUUGUACUAUGCAUAUACAUGUAGGUCUGCUAUAUUAUUACUCCUGUGUAACUUGCCAACACAUUCAAAGUAUUGACCUAUAUGGCUGCAACGUCUCAUGUUGCAGGAUAUUCAGACGACGAGUAAGGUACCGUUAGGGUCGCGAGUCUGCACUCAGCAUCGCCAGUGGGCUAUGAUGGGACUCAUCGUUAUUUUCUGCUACUUUCCGCUGUUUGAUUGAAUAAAGCUAGCCAAGUGCGAUGCAGAUUGUUUUAUUUUAUACAUUCUGGAUCAUACGAUGUAAU